rnacentral:rRNA from 1 species
AACGAACGCUGGCGGCAUGCCUAACACAUGCAAGUCGAACGAGACCUUCGGGUCUAGUGGCGCACGGGUGCGUAACGCGUGGGAACCUGCCCUUAGGUUCGGAAUAACUCCCCGAAAGGGGUGCUAAUACCGGAUAAUGUCUUCGGACCAAAGAUUUAUCGCCUUUGGAUGGGCCCGCGUUGGAUUAGCUUGUUGGUAGGGUAAAAGCCUACCAAGGCGACGAUCCAUAGCUGGUCUGAGAGGAUGAUCAGCCACACUGGGACUGAGACACGGCCCAGACUCCUACGGGAGGCAGCAGUGGGGAAUAGUGGAAAAUGGGCGAAAGCCUGAUCCAGCAAUGCCGCGUGAGUGAUGAAGGCAUUAGGGUUGUAAAGCUCUUUUACCCGGGAUGAUAAUGACAGUACCGGGAGAAUAAGCUCCGGCUAACUCCGUG